GCUAACAUGAUAUAGUGGCUUGAGUGUUAGACUACAAUUCUGGAGACCAGGGUUCGAUUCCCAUCUUGGCC
rnacentral:tRNA from 1 species